rnacentral:rRNA from 1 species
GAUCCUGGCUCGGGAUGAACGCUAGCUACAGGCUUAACACAUGCAAGUCGAGGGGCAGCAUGUAUCUGGCUUGCCAGAUAUGAUGGCGACCGGCGCACGGGUGAGUAACGCGUAUCCGACCUGCCGCACACUCCGGGAUAGCCUUGCGAAAGCAAGUUUAAUACCGGAUGCCGUAAUGGCGCCGCAUGGUGUUUUUACGAAAGGGAUUUACCGGUGUGCGAUGGGGAUGCGUCCCA